UACGUAGGGUGCAAGCGUUGUCCGGAUUUAUUGGGCGUAAAGAGCUCGUAGGCGGCUUGGCAAGUCGGUGUGAAACUUCAGGCUCAACCUGGAGAUGCCACCGAUACUGCUAUGGCUUGAGUCCGGUAGGGACCACGGAAUUCCUGGUGUAGCGGUGAAUGCGCAGAUAUCAGGAGGAACACCGGUGGCGAAGGCGGUGGUCUGGCCGGCACUGACGCUGAGAGCGAAGCGUGGUAGCAACAGG
rnacentral:rRNA from 1 species